GAAGAUCAAGGCCAAGAAUGACAGUUUCUUCCAGUGCUACCAACUGGUCAUUUAACACUAGUGAUUGUUUUGGUGAGAAGAUUUUCACCUCCUUUCCAAAUAAACACAAACACCAGGGAAAAAAAUGUUUCCAAGAAGAUGAGUUGUAUUGAGAAAAAAGCAAACACAAAGCAGAAUCAUUUAUGGAGGCUGUCUAACCCUGCCAGAGGUGCUGCUUCAACCCCAGGGACAGGAGCUAUGCAGGAUGUGGAAGGAUAUGGAGCUGGAGCAAGGGAAAGGAGCCAGCAGAAAAGCUUCAGAAGCCACUGCCCGAGGUUCAGCGCUGUAACCACCUGGAAAGGCACCUUUUUACCCAGG